GGUGGCUCCAUGUGACGAGGAGGAGAAGGAAGCCGCGAGAGAGAGGCAGCAAUGGAAGGCGCUGAGCUGGACGGGAGGAAGAGAGGGGCCAAGCGCGCCCAGGAAGAGAGUGGGCGCGGGCUGGAAGAGGACCAGGCUUCCACCAAGGGGCGCUUCAGGCCUGGGCUGAGUUUGCAGCGGGAUAUGGAAAGCCAAAGAUCUUCUGUUCUCCAUAGAGUGGUCAAUUUUGCUCCUGAUCCACUCCCUGCCAGGCAAUAUGACAGGCAAACCACUGAACCAAUCAGCUUCUACCUCUCUGGAUUGGAAGAGCUGCUUGCUUGGAAACCCACCAAGGAUGAUGCUUUCAAUGUGUCUACUGAACCAUUGGCUAAACGCCAGCCCCCUCUUGACAGCCACCGGCCCCGUACACUGGUCUGCCAUGACAUGAGGGGAGGCUAUCUUGAAGACAGGUUCAUCCAAGGCGUAAAGGUACGUGACCCGUACGUGUUUUACCACUGGUGCUACAUUGACAUUUUUGUUUACUUCAGUCAUCACUUGGUCACCAUCCCUCCAGUGGUGUGGACUAACGCUGCUCACCGCAACGGCGUCCUCAUGCUAGGAACGUUCAUCACAGAGUGGAUAGAGGGAGAGAAGACGUGCGAAUCAUUUCUGGCAGGCGAGGAGGAAGCCUAUCUUGCAGUGGCUAAGCAGCUGGCUGCAAUCGCAGAAUUUUAUCGUUUUGAUGGCUGGUUGGUCAACAUUGAAAACUCUUUGCAUGUUUUGAUAGCUCAGAAAUUGCCCCAUUUCUUACAACAACUGACAGCCGAGGUGCACAGACUGGUACCUGGAGGACAAGUGUUGUGGUAUGACAGUGUCCUGAAGAAUGGAGAGCUCAAGUGGCAGAACGAGCUCAAUGAACAAAACAAAGUUUAUUUUGAUGUUUGUGAUGGCUUUUUCACCAAUUACAACUGGAGAGAGGAACAUCUGCUGCGAACUAGAGAGGCAGCCAGUAGCCGGCAGACUGAUGUCUAUGUGGGGGUUGAUGUGUUUGGACGAGGCAAUGUUGUGAGCAGCGGCUUUGAUACCAAGAAGUCACUGCAGAUGAUUCGAGAGCAGGGUCUUUCGGUAGCCCUCUUUGCACCUGGCUGGGUAUACGAGCACCUGGGCCCAAGAGAUUUCUUGAACAACGAGGAUAAAUUCUGGGCCCUGCUGUCAAAGCUACUAUCUAUUCACCACAUUGUCUCCCUCCCCUUUUGCACCAGCUUCAAUCUGGGUGCGGGUAAUCGACACUUCAGUCAUGGACAGGAGACAAGGACAGAGCCGUGGUACAACCUAAGUGCUCAAGAGAUCCAGCCAAUAUAUGGCAGCCACAGAAUGCCUGACAGGGGCUGGGUGCGGACCCGGUGCUGCCUGCAGGAAGCCUGGUGUGGAGGCAGCUCCUUGCUGCUGGAAGGGGCCAUCCCAGCCAAGGCUGAGGAUGUCACAACCAGGCUAUUCUCAUUCCAGAUGCCAGCACCCUCGCGGUUAUUCCUGGUCUUGAUUUUUAAACACGAGUCCCAUCUUCAAGCCACGGCUCUGGCACCACUGCUCACCACCCGAGAAUCAUGGUCACGCCCUGACAGGGGGGCCUCUACUUUAUUGGCAGAACCAACACGACAUACGCCCUCCCUGCUUCAUACGCCUCCUCCUGGCCUCGCCCAGUUUCUCAGAGGAUGUGAGCAGUGUGGGGAACAUGGCUGGCAAAAUCGAUGCUAUGAAUUGGAGCUUCGGAAUUGCUUCCUGGAUGAACUCUCCCUCACUGUGUCCCGUCGUCAACCUGGACAGGAGGAGAUGCCCUUCACAUGCCGCCUGGGCAAGAUCUGGAUGCUGGAUGCUGCCUCCCUGUCCACUCCCAAUGAAACCAGUUCCAUGUUGCCCAUGGAUGCCUCCCAUGUCCACUGGCACCGUCCUUCAGCUGAGCACCUCUCUGUCAGUUUCACUUUGAGUUGGACGUAUCCUUCCAGCAAGGCCACCUGCUUCCGUGUGCAUCACCGGAGUGGUUCGUGUGUCAGAGACUCUGAACUGCCUCUUCUCCUGCUUGGGGAAGCACAUGGCUGCCUGUACCGCGUGACUCAGCUAGCAGUGCCUAACCCUCAAACUAUGUCCUCAUGCCGCCUGGAGCUCCUGGUGGAGCCAGUCCCUAAUGAUGGGAGCAACGUUGAUUCUGCCAUGUGGGGAAAACUCACCUUUGUGUACUCUAACCCAAAGCUACCAGUGAACGCUGCCACACUUUCCGCACACCCACACCCGGGCCCGUGAACAUAACGUAGACAGAAGCUUCACCCAUCAUAAACUAAGGCUAAGAGGUGCACAAGAUGGGUGAGCACCUGGGAGAAGACCAUGGUCAACCAUUUCUGGACUGCUGCUGAGGAGACUACAGGGACAGAUUCGUGGAGUUGAGCUCAGUUUGAAGGGGGUGUUGCCUUUAAACUCUUACGGAAGGGCCAGAGAAUGGGCCAUGCAAUUUCCUGCUUCUCCUGGUCUGGUCUGAUCUGGUUAUGUGGGGAGUCCCUCUCGUCCUGCUUUUGCGCAAAACCACCAACACACUCCCUUUCUGAAUUCCUGAUGCAGCGCUUGGCAAGAGAAUUGAUAGCCGCAAUUAUUCCUUCGCAGUCUGGCAUGCAGGCAAUUAGCAGCUGGGAGUUUGGCCAAGCACGGCACACAUGGGGAUCUCUCAGUUCUUUGCUGCACAGGCCAGUCUCCACAUGUGGCUAUGGCUCAAGGCAAAGGAAAUUGAUACAGCGACAUUUACGCUGCCGGUGCUGGUCAGAUGGGCAUGAAUGCAACGAGAGCAAGAAAUUGACAUUUUGAAAAAUGUCGGCCCUGGCAUAGGGAUGGACUCAUGACAUUUUCUCUCGGUUUUGGAUUUUGCUCUUUUUCACUUUAUGCACCAAGGCGCCCAUGUUGCUCAGCCCUUAUUUCAGGCAGUGAAGACGCUGUUUUUAUCUCUAAUGUUUCCUCUUUCCUGUCCUGUCCUCUCCCUCCAGUGGCACAUCUUCAUUAAUUGAUGGAGGCAGCAUUUAUGACGAGAAGUUCUUGUACAAAUCCACUGGGUCUGUCCUGUGGACGUGGAUGGCAGCCUUCUCCAUCUACUUGGGUUCUGAGUAUUUAUUUUUAAAGUACAAUUCUCACUUAGCUCUCCACUAAUCAUGCUGACUGAAGCUGGUGGGUACUGAACAUCCUCCACAUCUAUGGCCCCAUCUGAUUAUUUGCUUUACACCAGCUCUUUCUACUCUGAUAAGCUUUCAAGGCAAUUAAAAAUGUCCCUUCAAAAGGGCUUUUCCUGCAGAUCUGCACAGCUGGGCAAGGAAAGAAUUGGAUUUCUUAGCCAUCAGUGUUAGCGCCUGAAAUUGGGCCCAGUAACAGAUCACUAGUGCAGAUGUCUCCAUGCAAGGUGACAUUAUGUGAUCUUUGUAACUUGCACCAGUUUUCUAAUCCCAUUUUGCACGACUUGCAACUUCCAGGCACUUUCAGAGUGAUAGGAAUUGAUUCAGACUGAGAUGAUUUCCAUAGGAAGACAGAUUUACAGCUGGAGGUCAGCAGUGACUGCAGGGCAGGGGUGAGGUCAUACCACACACACAAGCGAGUAGGGUUUCAAUUGUGCAGUUGUGGUUGCCAUCUUGACCUUACUGCCCAGCUCACCCCACACCCCAAUUCUUUCAGAUACUUAUGUGGAGGUGACAGAAAUGAUAGGAGUCUAAGGUAUAGAAGGAAAUAAAUACUAUUUAUGGGAACUAUAUAAUUCAGUCAAUAUAUAACCAACUGAUCGAUGCAUAGUCAAUGCUAUGAAGGGAUACAAGAUAUUAUGAAUGUCUGAUGGAACUGCACUUCCUUUAGGAUACUUGCAGUGCAAUGACCUGGGGUUGCCAAUGCCUUUUCCCGCCUAUCUUGGAGAUGGGCAGCAGACACAGAGGAAGCAUGGGAUGUUGUGUUGUAUGUUUGUGUGCUCCCAGACCAUUGGUCCUAGUGUUCAAGCCUAAUGGGGGGAAUGUUUCUCCUUAUUCAGCAAAUGCAAGCAAGGUCAUUUCCCCAAUAGGCAAAUUGGAUUUUCUCAAUCCAAGAGAAUUAGAGACCCAAUCUCCCUUCUGGUCCCUCUUGGUCUUCUGCCCUAAUUAGUUGGGAGAGAUGCAAAAAAGGUGUCUAUCCACAGUGCUUAGAAGAGGGAUUUUUUUAAAAGGGACAGCUCAUACAUCCAAUGCUUCGGAGCAUCCAAUCAGUGCUUCUCUGCUCUGUCCAGCCCAAGAGGGUUGCAGUAAAAUUAGCAAAAUGAGUUGGGUCAAAGCUGAGUCAAUGACCUGAAUUAAAUUGAAGGGAAAGAAAAAGGAUGCAGCAAGACGAUUGGGUGGCCUUGACAAGUUAGCCAGAAAUGUUCUUCUGGAUGUUAAUUUUGGGCACAGGAACUCGUUCCCUGCAAGAUUUCUUGUGCUGCCUACUAGAAAAGAUUUGCCUUCUGUCCCUGGUUUUCUCUUGUCUAAGAUUUUUAUCAUACAUCCAUAUCUUCCUAGAGCCAGAAUGGGACAACUCAUUGCAGCCAACUCACCAUGGCCAACUUGCCACGGUCAACUUGCCACAGCCAACUUACCAUGGGAUAACUUGCUGCAAGACAAUUCAAUGUAAUUAUUUAAAAUAAUUUAAAAAAUAUUUUAAUUUUUGUCGUUGACGUUUCAUUUUGUCCCUCCUUUGGCAUCCUUUCUUUAAUGACUCUAUUCCACAAUUUCUUAGAUAUUAGUGUAAUUCCCGCAGCAAGUUGGCCAUGGCAAAUUGUCCCAUGGUGAGCUGGUGCAGUGAAUUGGCUGCAGCA